rnacentral:lncRNA from 1 species
CCAUCAAGACACAGACUAUAGUCAACACAAUGGUUAUACUUGACUUUAUAAUUCGCAUGAAAUAGAAAUAAGAGUCUUCCAACAGAGGACAUCAACCGGACUUGAACCCCGGUCUCCAGGGGGUUAGCUCACAGCUCACGCCAGUUCCCACUUAGAUGUAUGAAUGAAUUUUGUCUGAGAUUAUAUAUGACAGUGCAAUAGACAUGAUAGCAUUACGUUUAAAAUAUUGUGUUUUCCACAGAAAUUGAGCCGCUGUCUGCAGUGGGUUAGGCAGAGUGCACUCCACUGCACCACUGAGGCGAUGACAAUACACAAUAAUCAAUCAUCAAUAAAGAGGAUACACAUGACAUUAAAAUCUAUUUGUGUAUUUCUAUCAUUUCCCUUUUGUUUUUUUUCUUGACGACCAAUAAAAUACGACUGUGUUACACCUAAUAUUUUAUUUGACAAAGACAACAGUGUUACCCUUUAUGUUUUUUUUCAUGACGACCAAUAAAAAACAACAGUGUUACCCCUUAUGUUUUUUUUUCAUGACAACCAAUAAAAAACAACAGUGUUACCCCUUAUGUUUUUUUUCAUGACGACCAAUAAAAAACAACAGUGUUACCCCUGAUGCUUUUUUUCAUGACGACCAAUAAAAAACAACAGUGUUACCCCUUGUGUUUUUUUUCAUGACGACCAAUAAAAAACAACAGUGUUACCCCUUAUGUUUUUUUUCAUGACGACCAAUAAAAAACAACAGUGUUACCCCUGAUGCUUUUUUUCAUGACGACCAAUAAAAAACAACAGUGUUACCCCUUGUGUUUUUUUCAUGACGACCAAUAAAAAACAACAGUGUUACCCCUUAUGUUUUUUUUUCAUGACGACCAAUAAAAAACAACAGUGUUACCCCUGAUGCUUUUUUUCAUGACGACCAAAGAAAAACGACAGUGUCACCCCUCAUGUUUCAUUUGGUAAAAACGACAGUGUUACCCCCUAUGUUUUAUUCAAUACAUUUCGACAGUGCUACCCCUUAUGGGUUUUUCAUGACGACAGAUAAAAAACGACAGUGUUACCCCUUAUGGGUUUUUCAUGACGACAGAUAAAAAAACGACAGUGUUACCCUUUACGUUUCAUUUGAUAAAAACGACAGUCUUACCCCUUAUGUUUUUUUCCCAUGAUGACUGACGAAAAACAACAGUGUUACCCCUUAUAUUUUAUUUCACAAAGAAUUUUUUUUUUUUUUUUCAAAGAUGUUUUUUCUUCAUGACGACCAAUAAAAAACCACAGUCGUCCCCCUGUCGACGCAUUUGCGGGGAUCCGAACCUGAGCUGUUUAGAGUGUUAACCUCCGAACUUAUCAAUGCACCAUCAAGACACCGAAUAAAUUCAAC